rnacentral:rRNA from 1 species
ACGGGAGGCAGCAGUGGGGGAUAUUGCACAAUGGGGGGAACCCUGAUGCAGCGACGCCGCGUGAGGGAAGAAGGUUUUCGGAUUGUAAACCUCUGUCUAUGGGGGCGAUAAUGACGGUACCCAUGGAGGAAGCUCCGGCUAACUACGUGCCAGCAGCCGCGGUAAUACGUAGGGGGCGAGCGUUGUCCGGAAUUACUGGGUGUAAAGGGAGCGUAGGCGGGUUUGUAAGUUAAAUGUGAAAUGUAUGGGCUCAACCCAUAGACUGCGUUUAAAACUACAGAUCUUGAGGGGAGUAGAGGCAGGCGGAAUUCCUAGUGUAGCGGUGAAAUGCGUAGAUAUUAGGAAGAACACCGGUGGCGAAGGCGGCCUGCUGGGCUUUGACUGACGCUGAGGCUCGAAAGCGUGGGUAGCAAACAGGAUUAGAUACCCUGGUA